rnacentral:rRNA from 1 species
GAUGAACGCUGGCGGCGUGCCUAAUACAUGCAAGUCGAGCGAACAGACGAGGAGCUUGCUCCUCUGACGUUAGCGGCGGACGGGUGAGUAACACGUGGAUAACCUACCUAUAAGACUGGGAUAACUUCGGGAAACCGGAGCUAAUACCGGAUAAUAUAUUGAACCGCAUGGUUCAAUAGUGAAAGACGGUUUUGCUGUCACUUAUAGAUGGAUCCGCGCCGCAUUAGCUAGUUGGUAAGGUAACGGCUUACCAAGGCAACGAUGCGUAGCCGACCUGAGAGGGGGAGCGGCCACACUGGAACUGCGACCCGGCCCGGCCUCCGCCGGGAGGCGCAAUGAGGAAUUCUUCCCAAAUGGGCAAAGGCCUGACGGAGCACCCCCGGGGGAGGGAUGAAGUUCUUCGGAUCUAAAACCUUUUUUAUUGGGGAAAAAAAAAUGUGUAAGUACCUAUGCCCGUCUUGACGUUCCCUAACCAGAACCCCCCGCCAACCUCCGUC